UUAAGCGACUAAGCGUACACGGUGGAUGCCCUGGCAGUCAGAGGCGAUGAAGGACGUGCUAAUCUGCGAAAAGCGUCGGUAAGGUGAUAUGAACCGUUAUAGCCGGCGAUGUCCGAAUGGGGAAACCCAGUGCAAUUCGUUGCACUAUCGUUAACUGAAUACAUAGGUUAACGAGGCGAACCGGGGGAACUGAAACAUCUAAGUACCCCGAGGAAAAGAAAUCAACCGAGAUUCCCCCAGUAGCGGCGAGCGAACGGGGAGCAGCCCAGAGUCUGAAUCAGCUUGUGUGUUAGUGGAACGGUCUGGAAAGUCCGACGGUACAGGGUGAUAGUCCCGUACACCAAAAUGCACAGGCUGUGAACUCGAAGAGUAGGGCGGGACACGUGGUAUCCUGUCUGAAUAUGGGGGGACCAUCCUCCAAGGCUAAAUACUCCUGACUGACCGAUAGUGAACCAGUACCGUGAGGGAAAGGCGAAAAGAACCCCGGCGAGGGGAGUGAAAAAGAACCUGAAACCGUGUACGUACAAGCAGUGGGAGCACCUUCGGGUGUGACUGCGUACCUUUGUAUAAUGGGUCAGCGACUUAUAUUCUGUAGCAAGGUUAACCGUAUAGGGGAGCCGCAGGGAAACCGAGUCUUAACUGGGCGUUAAGUUGCAGGGUAUAGACCCGAAACCCGGUGAUCUAGCCAUGGGCAGGUUGAAGGUUGGGUAACACUAACUGGAGGACCGAACCGACUAAUGUUGAAAAAUUAGCGGAUGACUUGUGGCUGGGGGUGAAAGGCCAAUCAAACCGGGAGAUAGCUGGUUCUCCCCGAAAGCUAUUUAGGUAGCGCCUCGUGAACUCAUCUUCGGGGGUAGAGCACUGUUUCGGCUAGGGGGUCAUCCCGACUUACCAACCCGAUGCAAACUACGAAUACCGAAGAAUGUUAUCACGGGAGACACACGGCGGGUGCUAACGUCCGUCGUGAAGAGGGAAACAACCCAGACCGCCAGCUAAGGUCCCAAAGUCAUGGUUAAGUGGGAAACGAUGUGGGAAGGCACAGACAGCCAGGAUGUUGGCUUAGAAGCAGCCAUCAUUUAAAGAAAGCGUAAUAGCUCACUGGUCGAGUCGGCCUGCGCGGAAGAUGUAACGGGGCUAAACCAUGCACCGAAGCUGCGGCAGCGACACUAUGUGUUGUUGGGUAGGGGAGCGUUCUGUAAGCCUGCGAAGGUGUGCUGUGAGGCAUGCUGGAGGUAUCAGAAGUGCGAAUGCUGACAUAAGUAACGAUAAAGCGGGUGAAAAGCCCGCUCGCCGGAAGACCAAGGGUUCCUGUCCAACGUUAAUCGGGGCAGGGUGAGUCGACCCCUAAGGCGAGGCCGAAAGGCGUAGUCGAUGGGAAACAGGUUAAUAUUCCUGUACUUGGUGUUACUGCGAAGGGGGGACGGAGAAGGCUAUGUUAGCCGGGCGACGGUUGUCCCGGUUUAAGCAUGUAGGCUGAUUGUCCAGGCAAAUCCGGAUAAUCAAGGCUGAGGUGUGAUGACGAGGCACUACGGUGCUGAAGUAACAAAUGCCCUGCUUCCAGGAAAAGCCUCUAAGCAUCAGGUAACAUCAAAUCGUACCCCAAACCGACACAGGUGGUCAGGUAGAGAAUACCAAGGCGCUUGAGAGAACUCGGGUGAAGGAACUAGGCAAAAUGGUGCCGUAACUUCGGGAGAAGGCACGCUGGUGUGUAGGUGAAGUCCCUGCGGAUGGAGCUGAGACCAGUCGAAGAUACCAGCUGGCUGCAACUGUUUAUUAAAAACACAGCACUGUGCAAACACGAAAGUGGACGUAUACGGUGUGACGCCUGCCCGGUGCCGGAAGGUUAAUUGAUGGGGUUAUCCGUAAGGAGAAGCUCUUGAUCGAAGCCCCGGUAAACGGCGGCCGUAACUAUAACGGUCCUAAGGUAGCGAAAUUCCUUGUCGGGUAAGUUCCGACCUGCACGAAUGGCGUAAUGAUGGCCAGGCUGUCUCCACCCGAGACUCAGUGAAAUUGAACUCGCUGUGAAGAUGCAGUGUACCCGCGGCAAGACGGAAAGACCCCGUGAACCUUUACUAUAGCUUGACACUGAACAUUGAGCCUUGAUGUGUAGGAUAGGUGGGAGGCUUUGAAGCGUGGACGCCAGUCUGCGUGGAGCCAACCUUGAAAUACCACCCUUUAAUGUUUGAUGUUCUAACGUUGGCCCCUUACCGGGGUUGCGGACAGUGUCUGGUGGGUAGUUUGACUGGGGCGGUCUCCUCCCAAAGCGUAACGGAGGAGCACGAAGGUUAGCUAAUCCUGGUCGGACAUCAGGAGGUUAGUGCAAUGGCAUAAGCUAGCUUGACUGCGAGCGUGACGGCGCGAGCAGGUGCGAAAGCAGGUCAUAGUGAUCCGGUGGUUCUGAAUGGAAGGGCCAUCGCUCAACGGAUAAAAGGUACUCCGGGGAUAACAGGCUGAUACCGCCCAAGAGUUCAUAUCGACGGCGGUGUUUGGCACCUCGAUGUCGGCUCAUCACAUCCUGGGGCUGAAGUAGGUCCCAAGGGUAUGGCUGUUCGCCAUUUAAAGUGGUACGCGAGCUGGGUUUAGAACGUCGUGAGACAGUUCGGUCCCUAUCUGCCGUGGGCGCUGGAGAAUUGAGGGGGGCUGCUCCUAGUACGAGAGGACCGGAGUGGACGCAUCACUGGUGUUCGGGUUGUCAUGCCAAUGGCACUGCCCGGUAGCUAAAUGCGGAAGAGAUAAGUGCUGAAAGCAUCUAAGCACGAAACUUGCCCCGAGAUGAGUUCUCCCUGAGACUUUAAGUCUCCUGAAGGAACGUUAAAGACGAUGACGUUGAUAGGCCGGGUGUGUAAGCGCAGCGAUGCGUUGAGCUAACCGGUACUAAUGAACCGUGAGGCUUAACCUU
rnacentral:rRNA from 1 species